GCAGGGGGUUUAGCUCAGGGGUAGAGCAUUUGACUGCAGAUCAAGAGGUCCCUGGUUCAAAUCCAGGUGCCCCCUGCU
rnacentral:tRNA from 1 species